rnacentral:rRNA from 1 species
CGAACGCUGGCGGCGUGCUUCACACAUGCACGUCGAACGGAAAGGCCCUGCUUUUGUGGGGUGCUCGAGUGGCGAACGGGUGAGUAACACGUGAGUAACCUGCCCUUGACUUUGGGAUAACUUCAGGAAACUGGGGCUAAUACCGGAUAGGAGCUCCUGCUGCAUGGUGGGGGUUGGAAAGUUUCGGCGGUUGGGGAUGGACUCGCGGCUUAUCAGCUUGUUGGUGGGGUAGUGGCUUACCAAGGCUUUGACGGGUAGCCGGCCUGAGAGGGUGACCGGCCACAUUGGGACUGAGAUACGGCCCAGACUCCUACGGGAGGCAGCAGUGGGGAAUAUUGCACAAUGGGCGGAAGCCUGAUGCAGCAACGCCGCGUGCGGGAUGACGGCCUUCGGGUUGUAAACCGCUUUCGCCUGUGACGAAGCGUGAGUGACGGUAAUGGGUAAAGAAGCACCGGCUAACUACGUG